rnacentral:misc_RNA from 1 species
GAUGAAGAACGCAGCGAAAUGCGAUAAGUAAUGUGAAUUGCAGAAUUCAGUGAAUCAUCGAAUCUUUGAACGCACAUUGCGCCCGCCAGUAUUCUGGCGGGCAUGCCUGUUCGAGCGUCAUUUCAACCAUCAAGCCCCCGGCUUGUGUUGGGGACCUGCGGCUGCCGCAGGCCCUGAAAACCAGUGGCGGGCUCGCUAGUCACUCCGAGCGUAGUAAUACAUCUCGCUCAGGGCGUGGUGCGGGUUCCGGCCGUUAAAAAGCCUUAUUUGCCCAAGGUUGACCUCGGAUCAGGUAGGAAGACCCGCUGAACUUAAGCAUAUCAAUAAGCGGAGGA